rnacentral:rRNA from 1 species
AUUGAACUCUGGCGGCGGGCCUAACACAUGCAAGUCGAACGAGUGGCGGACGGGUGAGUAAUGUCUGGGAAACUGCCCGAUGGCGGGGGAUAACUACUGGAAACGGUAGCUAAUACCGCAUCCCAUCGGAUGUGCCCAGAUGGGAGUAGCUAGUAGGUGGGGUAACGGCUCACAUAGGCGACGAUCCCUAGCUGGUCUGAGAGGAUGACCAGCCACACUGGAACUGAGACACGGUCCAGACUCCUACGGGAGGCAGCAGUGGUGAAUAUUGCACAAGGGGCGCAAGCCUGAUGCAGCCAUGCCGCGUGUAUGAAGAAGGCCUUCGGGUUGUAAAGUACUUUCAGCGGGGAGGCGUUACCCGCAGAAGAAGCACCGGCUAACUCCGUGCCAGCAGCCGCGGUAAUUC